UCCGCCCGUCUGUGUUUUCAGGGCUCAUGACAGGAAUAUGUGUGUAAAAUAAAAAAAAUAGCAAAUCAAAGCGGAAUGGAGAGAGAAGUGUGAAAUUGUCUGUAGCGAGGAGCGUGUUCUUUUAAAGCUGGUGGGUUUUGGUUGGAGUAAUUUCUUUCACACCAAGACCGCAGAUGCACGGGACCUAUAAACACUGAAGUGGAGCUUAAGAGGAGUGAUUUUAAAAUGCUUUGAAUGUAAAGACGCUAAAAUCAUGUCGAUUCCCUCACAUACUUUAUUCAGAUAAUCUUUCAGUUUGUGCGCUUCUUGGCAGCAAGUCUAAUUCUUUGGGUUUAGUUGGAAUACUUUCGUUGGCGGAUUAACCAAUUUUUUCUCCACAACUGAAUGACACCCCGUGCUGCAUCUUCUGUGUUCAACGAUGGAGUCUGGAUGCGAAAACCUGAGAAGAUUGAUCAAGAAACUCUCGUCCUUCUUGAUGACGUCACACUAACCUCUCUAAUCUCAGUUAUUGGACUUCGUCUAAAAUUCCAGAAGUACCUCAGGAAGGUGCUUGAUAAUGUAAGAGACAUCCUUCUGACGACACCUGAUGGCAGAGAUAUUUUGGAUAAUAUUGAAGAGAAGUACUGCAUUUCUGAUACGGAUAUUGGUGUCAAAUCUGAUGGAGCGCUUUGGAGAAAAUCCAACUGCAGAUACCAAAGUUGAAUUGGCUUCAUCAAUAGUUGAACAGCUUCCAUGUCUUAAGGACUGCCAGGGUAAAGGCUAUGAAGCAUGGUUCAAUCCAGGUCGAAGUCACAGACUUGCCACAGGCUUCCUUGAGGAGCAUCUUCGGAAUGUACGGCAAAGGCUCCACAGAGGAAGACAGACUCCUGGUUUCUCAGAUUAAUUUAGAGAAAGCACCAGAUUGGUUUUGCCAGAGUUAUGACAACUUUGGACAUAGAGCAGUUCAAAUGACUGAGUGGCUUAAAAAUAAUAUCUUGCCGCCAGCUCAGGCUGAGCAAUACAUGAAAGAGACUGCCAUCCACAGGGCCAAAUGGAUUCGAGAUAAUGGCACCAAGGGUUUAACAGAAAUAGUCAGUGAGUAUCCAUGUCUCCUCGACACUCCGGGCAUGGUAGGUUUAAAUUUGAAACAAACAUUGGCUCAAUAUUUUUUUACUUCUUAUACAACUUUAUUUGCCAUUUUUGUCUUUUGUCUGUACUUUAGAUAUCCCAGGACUUCUCUGUUUUGAAUUCAGACUGUGCUUCAAAACUCACAGAAAACUGGGUUCCUGUAUUUAAGGAUAAGAUCCUGCGGUUUGCCAGAAGAGAGAAGCAGGCUCUUCAUUUGCUUUCUGAUGUAGACACUAUGUCAGCAGCUGAGAACAAACGAAGAGCUAAUAAAAUGUGUAAAGGAGUCAAAACAGUACCAGGAAUUCCUCCAUUGCACACACAAAUGAAGAUAUGCUGCAAAGACGGCUGAUGGCUGUUCCGACGCCUGUACCGAACUGUAAUGGGCAACAUAGCUCCUAUGAUGAGAAGAACCAGGUAUGCUUGAGACAUACAGAGUGACAUCGCUUUACUGGUCUUUCCUAUGGUGCUUCCAACAUCUGUCCACAAGAUUGGAAGGAAAAUGUUUAGACCAAGAUUCAUAGAAACCAGGAAGGCCUUCAUAGACAUACAGCCUUGAGCACGGGGAGAGCGGCAUAAAUAGAGCCACACAGCAGUUAGAGGGGAGAGAGAGCCUGGGCACGGACUAUGAAGCCAGAAGUUUUGAUGAUUGUAAAUUUGAAAGUUUAUUUUGUAAGCUAGUUUGUGGAUGUUUUUAGACUGUGUUUGCCAACAACGUAAAGCCCUGAGAGUGUGUUGUGCUGCACUGAGGAAAAUAAAAAAACGCUUACCUGAACCAGGAAAUCUGCUUCUCGCCUCCUCCUUCCACUGAGAAGUGUUACAAAGCCCUAAUCAAAUAUGGGGAAAUACCAAUAACUUCAAACAUUGGUUCUUGUCUCUCCUGAGACCAAAUGUCAUGACAUAAGAACCAGUGAGGAUUUUAUUGAUGUAGCCACCAUGUUGGAUUUCAGCAUCGUAUACUGGCUGUGCAGCAUAAAAAGUAACUAUUGGUACUAAUAUGGCUGAAUACCUGCGAUGUGCGAAAAACACCACCGAAUUUUCAUAUGUCCUGAUGCUUGGAGACAACAACCAGUGCUUUCAAGCCUUUGUUGUUAUAAACGGAGAAGCGCUUGAGCAAAACACAUUGCUGGCAGCAGUAGAUGUUUGCUGUAAGGCAUUCUACACCUUAGAUGUCAAUUUCCCCAAACCGUGUUCCCCAGUGUGGGAAUUUUUACAGAUUGUGGUGUAUGGACUUCCUGGAAAUGAAUCCCCAGCUAUAAGGAUUCUGCGAGCAUACAUUUCUCAUACAUCUGUCUAAACCUCUUAUACUGCUGUAGAUGUUCGCAUUUAAUGCAUUCUACACAUCCGGUAUUAAUUUUUCAAAACAGUGUUUUCAUCUUAAGCAUUUAAUAUUUAUUUUUUUGUAUGUUGAUUGAGUUUUGUCAGUGCAGAGCCAGGGUCAAGGGCAAAAAACUGUUAUGAAUUGCUUUUUAAGAAUUCAUAUUUUUCCUGUGUUUUUUGCUCAGCUUGUAGUGUGUUAUAUUAGAAAGAUUGGUUGAAUGCAAAAAGUUCAUUUUUUAUCCUUUGUAAUUGCACUUAAUUUGCACAAACUCAUGCACACACAUUGAAAACUGUUUUUAGUUGUGCAUAAUUGUAUACAUUUCGGGGUGUUCUCAUCAAUAAAUGUUUACCAUUUUA